AUGCUCUUAGACGAACAAUCAAGCAGGCAAAGCGCUAAUACAGGACUAAGAUUGAAUCGUACUAUACUGACUCCGACACUCGUUGGAUGUGGCAGGGCUUGCAUACUAUUACAGACUACAAAAGGGAAGCACAGCCACGAGCUGCCCAGUGACACAAGCCUAACAGACGAGCUAAAUUACUUCUAUGUUUGCUUUGAGGCAAGUAACAUUGAAACAUGCCUGAGAGCAUCAGCUGUUCCGGAUGACUGUGUGAUCAUGCUCUCCGUAGCUCAUGUGAGUAAAACCUUUAAACAGGUCAACAUUCACAAGACUGCAGGGCCAGACGGAUUCCCAGGUCGUGUACUCCGAGCAUGCGCUGACCAACUAGCAAGUGUCUUCACUGACAUUUUCAACCUGUUCCUGACUGAGUCUGUAAUACCAACAUGUUGCAAGCAGACCACCAUAGUCCCUGUGCCCAAGAACACUAAGGUACAUUGCCUAAAUGACUACCGACCCGUAGCACUCACGUCAGUAGCCAUGAAGUGCUUUGAAAGGCUGGUUAUGGCUCACAUCAACACCAUUACCCCAGAAACCCUAGACCGACUCCAAUUUGCAUACCGCCUCAACAGAUCCACAGAUGAUGCAAUCUCUAUUGAACUUCACACUGCCCUUUCACACCUGGACAAAAGGAACACCUAUGUGAGAAUGCUAUUCAUUGACUACAGCUCAGUGUUCAACACCAUAGUACCCUCAAAGCUCAUCACUAAGCUAAAGACCCUGGGACUAAACACCUCCCUCUAUAACUGGAUCCUGGACUUCCUGACGGGCCGCCCCCAGGUGGUAAGGGUAGGUAACAACACAUCCGCCACGCUGAUCCUCAACACAGAGGCCCCUCAGGGGUGCAUGCUCAGUCCCCUCCUGUACUCCCUGUUCGCUCAUGACUCCAACACCAUCAUUAAGUUUGUCGAUGACACAACAGUGGUAGGCCUGAUCACCGACAGGGAGAAGGUGAGGGCACUCAGAGUGUGGUGUCAGGAAAACAACCUCUCACUCAAUGUCAACAAAACAAAUGAGAUGAUUGUGGACUUCAGGAAAUUGCAGAGGGAGCACCCUCCUAUCCACAUCGAAGGGACAGCAGUGGAGAAGGUAGAAAGUUGUACGUUCCUCUGCGUACACAUCACAGACAAACUGAAAUGGUCCACCUACACAGACAGUGUGGUGAAGAAGGCACAACAGCGCCUCUUCAACCUCAGGAGGCUGAAGAAAUUUGGCUUGUCACCAAAAACCCUGACAAACCUUUACAGAUGCACAAUUGAGAGCAUCCGGUCGGGCUGUAUCACCGCCUGGUACGGCAACUGCACCGCCCUCAACAGCAAGGCUCUCCAGAGGGUGGUGCAGUCUGCACAAUGCAUCACCGGGGGAAAACUACCUGCCCUCCACGACACCUACAGCACCCAAUGUCACAGAAAGGCCAAAAAGAUCAUCAAGGACAACAACCACCCGAGCCACUGCCUGUUCACAUCGCCACCAUCCAGAAGGGAAGUCAGUACAGGUGCAUCAAAGCUGGGACCGAGAGACUGA
rnacentral:lncRNA from 8 species